UACGUAGGGGGCUAGAGUUGAUCGGAUUUAUUGGGCGUAAAGGGCAUGUCGGCGGUUAUGUAAGUGUGGAUUGAAAGAUGCAAGCUUAACUUGUUGGUUGGUCUGCAAACUACAUAACUAGAGUGCAGAGGGGGAAACUGGAAUUCCGCGUGUAGGGGUGAAAUCUGUAGAGAUGCGGAAGAAUACCUGUGGCGAAAGCGAGCUUCUGGUCUGCAACUGACGCUGAAAUGCGAAAGUGUGGGGAGCAAACAGG
rnacentral:rRNA from 1 species